rnacentral:rRNA from 1 species
UACGUAAGUGGCGAGCGUUAUCCGGAAUCACUGGGCGUAAAGGGCGCGUAGGCGGUCGUGACAAGUCACUUGUGAAAUCUCCGGGCUUAACUCGGAACGGUCAAGUGAUACUGUCGGACUAGAGUACAGAAGGGGCAACUGGAAUUCUCGGUGUAGCGGUGAAGUGCGUAGAUAUCGAGAGGAACACCUGCGGCGAAGGCGGGUUGCUGGGCUGAUACUGACGCUGAGGCGCGAAAGCCAGGGGAGCGAACGGG